GGGGAUGCAAGGCAUAGACAGUUGGCCUACUUGUAUCUGAUGCAUACCGAGUAUGGGCGUAAUCUCGUAAAAAUUCGCCCAACAGCUUAAUUGCAAAAUUAGCUUCCAAAGUUACUUCUCCAUACUUCGGUAUGAAGGAUCUAACUCCAGCUUUCGCUUUAGCUUAAGCCGGUGUCUGCCUCAUAGACUUCCGAUAUAUGAGGUUAGGCAUAAUAUUAUCGGGAUAAGGAAUUGCCCGCUCGAGCAUUUCACGAAAACUUAGAGCUCGAUUAAAAAAUAUUUGGCUCGCUUAAUAAUUUUUUAAUUUAAACCACCAAGCGUGCUAAGUAUGUAGACUUCGAUGCAAUAACCUUCUGCACACGAGUUCAAUUCUCGUCAUCUCCACAC
rnacentral:tmRNA from 1 species